GUUGUAUAGUCAAGUAAUUAAGUGCAUGUGGUGGAUGCCUUGGCAGUCAGAGGCGAAUGAAAGACGUGAUAGCCUGCGAAAAGCUCCGGGGAGGCGGCAAAUAUCCUUUGAUCCGGAGAUGUCUGAAUGGGGGAACCCACCUACUUUAAGGUAGGUAUUGCAACAUGAAUACAUAGUGUUGCAAGGCGAACGAGGGGAAGUGAAACAUCUCAGUACCCUUAGGAAAAGAAAUCAAUUGAGAUUCCCUCAGUAGCGGCGAGCGAACGGGGAUCAGCCCAUUAAGUUAUGUGUGUUUUAGUGGAACGCUCUGGGAAGUGCGAACGUAGAGGGUGAUAUUCCCGUACACGAAAGGGCACACAUAAUGAUGACGAGUAGGGCGAGGCACGUGAAACCUUGUCUGAAUAUGGGGGGACCAUCCUCCAAGGCUAAAUACUCCUGACUGACCGAUAGUGAACCAGUACCGUGAGGGAAAGGCGAAAAGAACCCCUGUGAGGGGAGUGAAAUAGAUCCUGAAACCGCAUGCAUACAAGCAGUGGGAGCACCUUCGUGGUGUGACUGCGUACCUUUUGUAUAAUGGGUCAGCGACUUAUAUUCAGUAGCGAGGUUAACCGUAUAGGGGAGCCGUAGAGAAAUCGAGUCUUAAUAGGGCGUUUAGUUGCUGGGUAUAGACCCGAAACCAGGCGAUCUAUCCAUGAGCAGGUUGAAGGUUGGGUAACACUAACUGGAGGACCGAACCCACUGUCGUUGAAAAGCCAGGGGAUGACUUGUGGAUAGGGGUGAAAGGCUAAUCAAGCCUGGUGAUAGCUGGUUCUCCCCGAAAGCUAUUUAGGUAGCGCCUCGGACGAAUACCAUAGGGGGUAGAGCACUGUUUCGGCUAGGGGGUCAUCCCGACUUACCAAACCGAUGCAAACUCCGAAUACCUAUGAGUACUAUCCGGGAGACAGACUGCGGGUGCUAACGUCCGUAGUCAAGAGGAAAACAAUCCAGACCGCCAGCUAAGGCCCCAAAAUCAUAGUUAAGUGGGAAACGAUGUGGGAAGGCAUAGACAGCUAGGAGGUUGGCUUAGAAGCAGCCACCCUUUAAAGAAAGCGUAAUAGCUCACUAGUCGAGUCGGCCUGCGCGGAAGAUGUAACGGGGCUAAAACUAUGUGCCGAAGCUGCGGAUGUAUACUUUGUAUACGUGGUAGGGGAGCGUUCUGUAAGCCGAUGAAGGUGUGUUGAGAAGCAUGCUGGAGGUAUCAGAAGUGCGAAUGCUGACGUGAGUAACGACAAAACGGGUGAAAAACCCGUUCGCCGAAAGACCAAGGGUUCCAGUCCAACGUUAAUCGGGGCUGGGUGAGUCGACCCCUAAGGCGAGGCCGAAAGGCGUAGUCGAUGGGAAAAUGGUUAAUAUUCCAUUACUUCUGUGUAAUGCGAUGAGAGGACGGAGAAGGCUAAAUCAGCCUGGCGUUGGUUGUCCAGGUGAAAGGAUGUAGGCAUGUAUCUUAGGCAAAUCCGGGGUACUCUAUGCUGAGAUCUGAUAGCAAGCUGUACUUGUACAGCGAAGUGGUUGAUGCCAUGCUUCCAGGAAAAGUCUCUAAGCUUCAGUUACACAGGAAUCGUACCCGAAACCGACACAGGUGGUCAGGUCGAGUAGACCAAGGCGCUUGAGAGAACUCUGCUGAAGGAACUAGGCAAAAUGGUACCGUAACUUCGGGAGAAGGUACGCUGUUGUUGGUGAUGGAACUCGCUUCCUGAGCUGACGACAGCCGCAGAAACCAGGCCGCUGCAACUGUUUAUUAAAAACAUAGCACUCUGCAAACACGAAAGUGGACGUAUAGGGUGUGAUGCCUGCCCGGUGCUGGAAGGUUAAUUGAUGGGGUUAGCGUAAGCGAAGCUCUUGAUCGAAGCCCCAGUAAACGGCGGCCGUAACUAUAACGGUCCUAAGGUAGCGAAAUUCCUUGUCGGGUAAGUUCCGACCUGCACGAAUGGCAUAAUGAUGGCGGCGCUGUCUCCAGCAGAGGCUCAGUGAAAUCGAAAUCGCUGUGAAGAUGCAGUGUACCCGCGGCUAGACGGAAAGACCCCGUGAACCUUUACUGCAGCUUGACACUGAACUUUGACCUUACUUGUGUAGGAUAGGUGGGAGGCUUUGAAGCUGGAACGCUAGUUCCAGUGGAGCCGUCCUUGAAAUACCACCCUGGUAAUGUUGAGGUUCUAACUCUGUCCCGUGAUCCGGGACGAGGACCGUGUCUGGUGGGUAGUUUGACUGGGGCGGUCUCCUCCUAAAGAGUAACGGAGGAGUACGAAGGUGCGCUCAGCGUGGUCGGAAAUCACGCGUAGAGUAUAAAGGCAAAAGCGCGCUUAACUGCGAGACCCACAAGUCGAGCAGGUACGAAAGUAGGUCUUAGUGAUCCGGUGGUUCUGUAUGGAAGGGCCAUCGCUCAACGGAUAAAAGGUACUCUGGGGAUAACAGGCUGAUACCGCCCAAGAGUUCAUAUCGACGGCGGUGUUUGGCACCUCGAUGUCGGCUCAUCUCAUCCUGGGGCUGAAGCAGGUCCCAAGGGUAUGGCUGUUCGCCAUUUAAAGAGGUACGCGAGCUGGGUUUAGAACGUCGUGAGACAGUUCGGUCCCUAUCUACCGUGGGCGCUGGAAAUUUGAGAGGAUCUGCUCCUAGUACGAGAGGACCAGAGUGGACGAACCUCUGGUGUACCGGUUGUGACGCCAGUCGCAUCGCCGGGUAGCUAUGUUCGGAAGGGAUAACCGCUGAAAGCAUCUAAGCGGGAAGCCUACCUCAAGAUAAGAUUUCCCUAGGACUUUAUGUCCUCUAAAGAGCCGUUCGAGACUAGGACGUUGAUAGGUUGGAUGUGGAAGCAUAGUGAUAUGUGAAGCUGACCAAUACUAAUUGCUCGUGAGGCUUGACUAUACAACACCCAAGCAGUUG
rnacentral:rRNA from 1 species